UGAAUAAUAUGACAGUAAUUUCUGUACAAGACAGAAAGAGAGAGAAAAGAGUGCGGGAAUUAUUCGAGCGCCGGUAUCUCACGGCAUUAACACGUAUCGCCAGACGGAUCAAUGGAUCUUUAUUGGCACCAUUUUGGACCUCGGAGCUGCAGAAUUGUACGUGUCACGAACAGGAGAAGCGCACGCGAUAAUUGACCGGACAUUUGACGGAUCAUUAUAACAUUAGCCGCUCGUGCAACCGGUCCCUUGACACAUUGCGUUCCUGCACGUAGCUUUUGUAUUUUAAUCGGGAACUCCCGUAUAAGCGAUACACGCAAGUUCAAGUGUUCAGAGAGGAAGAACGUGCGAAUGUAUACAUCUUUCAUCACGAUUAACCGUGUUAUUGUUAUAAUGAUUGAAAUUUGUGCCUUAUUAUGAAUUUUUAGGAUAUUAUCCAAAUUAAUAUAUUGAGAUAUUUAGAACAGCAUUCUUGAAUGUCUGUUAAAAAUAUAGAUAAUAACGAAAUUUACUUUGGAAAAGGACAUCGAACAAUUGAGAGAUAAUGUUUUUCCUCGAGGUAGGCGCACGCUGGAUUAUCAUACUAACAACAAAACCAUUCCCGAGUUAAAAUUCGAAGCGAGAUGUAACUUUGAAGUUUGAACCCAAGUCCGAAGCGAGUGAAUGCGCGCUAUUUAUAGACCACGGAAAAAUUAUCUCCUUCAAAAUGAUAUAUGUUAUACACGUAAACAUGAAUAUUCUUCCAAGUGAGUUUUACGGAAAAAAUGAGGUAUUUUUAUCUUGCAACCAGAUGAUAACAAAAUUCCAAGUUUACACAUUCGUGCCAAGCCGGUGGACGCUUAUCGAUUUUAUCGUCGUCUUACUGCAGUUUUGUGUGUGUAUCGCUCGUCCCAAGAUUAAUACUCAAUCAUGGAUUCUAAAUUAAGAUUUUCAAUGCACUUUGGACGAUCGACGCGAUGCCAAGUCACAUGUUCGUUUACGUACCGAGUGCCUUCAUAUAAUCGUCGAAGUUUUCGCUGCUGGAGAGCUUGUAACGUUUUCCAAGGACCUCGCUGGACAUGAUGAUGCUCGAAGAAAUAACGUUUCCGGUAAUGCGUGGAAAACGAGAAGAGCGGCUGACGGAAGAUCGGGUCGAUACAGGCCGGGAUACACGACUGACACCCUCUGGUCGGCACGAUUAUGUGAACUGAACAGGAACGUCAGGAUAAGUAUGAGUAGUGCCCAGAUACGAAACUCCAUCUCCCCCGAACUAUUCACCUCUCUCUCUGUCUUCUGUCCUCUAUCUCUCUUCCUCUCUCUCCUCAUCUCUGUACACUCAUCGAAUUCGCUUGUUCCACCUUUUGCCGGGUCGUGCUUUCCCUCUCUGCACUUCCUUUUGCUGCUCCCACCCGAAGCCGCCCUUUGCCUCGUUAACUCACACCAUCUCUCUCUUUCUUUGAUCUCCAUCCUCUAUCCUCUUUCGGUCCUUACGCUCUCCCACUAGCAAGUUCGAAAUUUCCUGACUGGCUCCUCAUGCGCACACCCGGCUUCCCCCUCUUCGAAAUCUAUUCCCUAUUUGCACACAGCUGCGGCACAGGAUACCGGUAUGCUACCCGGUGUCUUGUGUGCGUAAUUUUCAUCUCUUUCUCGAUCGCGUAAUACGUCGAUUUUUCAUUUGGCCUUUGCUUUCACAUGUAAAUGAAUGACGUAUCGGACGCGAUUCUGCUAACAAGACAAACUAUAUAAACUCACUGCGAUAAAUUGUUGUACUACGUUAUUAUUGAUCCAAUGAAUAUCAUUAUUAGACAGUAAUUAUUUUUGAGAAAGAAGACCAUAAUAUAUAACACAAAUAAGUCUUUAAUAUAUAUAGCAAUUUUUAGUUACAAUAGAUUUUAUUGUUGCUAAUAGUUUUUGCUCGAUUAAUGUUAUUUGAACCAGAUAACAAUCAUCAAUUUUAUAAUAUAUUUUUCUCUUUAAAUAUAUAAAUAUUUAUAGA